rnacentral:RNase_P_RNA from 1 species
CGAGUAAGGCAGGUGGCCGCAUCCGCCUGAAUGCGGAUGAGGAAAGUCCGAGCACCACAGGGCAAGGUGCCGGGUAAUACCCGGUGGAGGCGACUCCAAGGAAAGUGCAACAGAAAUAUACCGCCCGCAAGCGCCGCCCCCCGGGCGGGAUCGCUUGCGGGUAAGGAUGGAAAGGCGAGGUAAGAGCUCGCCAGCGGCAUGGCGACUUGACCGCUAUGUAAACCCCACCCGGUGCAAGAUUGGUAUAAGAGCAUUGAAUGGCUGCCCGCCACGCUCUUUGUAAUCGCUGGAGCCCGCAGGCAACUGCCAGCCAAGAUAGAUGGUCACCCACGACAGAACUCGGCUUACGCCUUGCUCGCACU